rnacentral:lncRNA from 1 species
UAUUGGGAGGACUACGAGUAUCUGUGAAGACGUCAUCCUUCCUGUGGCUUAUGUCACAAGUGUCUCUGUUGUGACAAACACUGCCACUUUGAGGGUGUGUCUUCUCAUCAACUGACUGCAGAUGAAGCUUCAAUUCAGGGUCCAUGUAAAAUGUGCAGUAGGAAAACAGAAAACACUCAUCUUCAAGAAGCCAAAAAGAAACACAAACAUGUAGAUGCCUAAAGAAGAAAGGAUAGUUAUCCAGAAAGAACCAUCAAAUAAAGAAGCCAUAUGAGUAAGGAACAUCACAAGAUCACAGAAUUGAAUCACCAGAGCUCAUGGGGACAGUCAGAGAAUUAGCAUGGGACUGACCUAGGUAUUUUUUUUUUUUAAUGUAAGUUACAGUUGUGUAAGUUACUG